rnacentral:lncRNA from 1 species
UUUUAACAACUCUUGCAUAUCUAAAAAGGCCACAUUACCCAAUCCAUUCAAGAACUUAAACACAUACAGCCGAAUAGUAAAACUCAAUUUAGUGAAUGUUUCAAACCCAGGAUAUAGUUCUUGUUUGCCUUCCUCUAAUAAUCUGAAAAAUCUCUUAGCAUCUUCAGAUAGAGUCUCUCUCAUCUGUUCUUCCUGCUCUUCCUCACACUCUACAUUCCUAAAGGUAUCAUGAAGUAAUCCAUCAAUAUCAUCACGCGUUUUAGAACGUUCAUCAUCAUUGCUUUGGUGAGGUGCAUUUCUAGAGGAGCUCUGCCUCACAUUCUACAUUCCUAAAGGUAUCAUGAAGUGAUCUAUCAAUAUCAUCAUGCGUGUUAGAACGUUCAUCAUCAUUGCUUUGCUGAGGUGCAUUUCUAGAGAAAAACCCUUCCCCAUGGAAAACCCAUUUGGUGCA